CACACACACACGCACACACACACACACUAACCUGGAGAGCCUCUUUGGGUAAAGCAUUUCUGGAAAACAUCCCAGCUCGAGCUCAAUUAUGGUGACCUAGGCAACAUAAUGAGACCCAUCUCUACAAAAAAAAAAAAAAAAUAGCUGGGUGUGGUGGUGCCUGUAGCCUCAGCUACUAAGGAGGCUGAGGCAGGAGGAUCACUUGAGCCCAGGAGGUUAAGAUUGCAGUGAGCCGAGAUCACGCCACUGCAUUCCAGCCUGGGUGAUGGAGUGAGACCCUGUCUCAAAAAAAAAAAAAAAAAAAAAAAGAGAGAAAAGAGUAGCUCCUUGUGGCCUACUACAGCGUUGCCUGGAAUGGUUCCACUACUUCCUCCCUGAUCUUCCCUUGCCCCCUGCAGUCUAUUGUCAACAUAGCACCCAGAAGGAGCUGUUAGGAAAGUCAUGCGGGGCGCGGUGGCUCUUGCCUGUUAUCCCAGUACUUUGGGAGAUGGAGGUAGUUAUCUCAGUACUUUGGGAGGCGGAGGUGGAGGAUCGUUUGUGCCCAGGGUUUGAGACCAGCCUGAACAAGAUGUAACCACAGGCCCCCCACCCCCGCCAAAAAAAGGAAAGUCAGAUCCUGUAGUUCCUCAGCUCAAACUUGUUGUUGGUUUUUGUUUUUAUUUUUGUUUUGUUUUGAGGCAGUCUUGCUCUGUCGCCCAGGCUGGGGUGCAGUCUUGGUUCACUGCAACCUCCACCUCCUGGGUUCAAGCGAUCCUCCUGCCUCAGCCUCUGGAGUAGCUGCGAUUACAGGUACCCACCACCAAUCCCUGUUAAUUUUUGUAUUUUUAGUAGAGACGGGGUUUCACCAUGUUGGCCAGGCUGGUCUUGAAGUCCAGACCUCAAGUGAUCUGCCCGCCUUGACCUCCCAAAGUGCUGGGAUUACAGGCUUGAGCCACUGCGCCCGGCCUCAAACUUGUUUUUGUUUGUUUGUUUAUUUGUUUGUUGUUGUUUAUUUGCUUGUUUGUUUUUGUGGAGGAAAAGAUCUUGCUCUGCUGCCCAGGCUGGUUUCGAACUCCUGGACUCAAGCGGUCCUCCCACCUCUGCCUCCCUAAGUGUUGGGAAUACAGAAGUGAGCUACUGCACCCAGCUCGUAUGCUCAAAUUGCUCCCCAUCACUUAAGUCCUCACACAUCCUGC
rnacentral:lncRNA from 1 species